rnacentral:misc_RNA from 1 species
GAUGAAGAACGCAGCGAAAUGCGAAAAGUAAUGUGAAUUGCAGAAUUCAGUGAACCAUCGAAUCUUUGAACGCACAUUGCGCCCGCUGGAACUCCGGCGGGCACGCCUGUCCGAGCGUCAUUUCAACCCUCAGGCCCCCCUUCGCGGGCGGGCCUGGUGUUGGGGCCCGGCCGCUACCCUGCGGCCGUCCCCUAAAUUCAGUGGCGGCCUCGCCGUGAUCCCUUGCGUAGUAAUGCACCUCGCACCGGAGAGCGCCGUGGCCACGCCGUAAAACCCCCAAUUUUCAAUGGUUGACCUCGGAUCAGGUGGGAAUACCCGCUGAACUUAAGCAUAUCAUAAGCGGAGGA